CCGUCGACUUUAAAAAUCGUGAGGGUUCAAGUCCCUCUAUCCCCAAAAAG
rnacentral:tRNA from 1 species